rnacentral:rRNA from 1 species
UGCAAGUCGAGCGGUAGCACAGAGAGCUUGCUCUCGGGUGACGAGCGGCGGACGGGUGAGUAAUGUCUGGGAAACUGCCUGAUGGAGGGGGAUAACUACUGGAAACGGUAGCUAAUACCGCAUAAUGUCGCAAGACCAAAGUGGGGGACCUUCGGGCCUCAUGCCAUCAGAUGUGCCCAGAUGGGAUUAGCUAGUAGGUGGGGUAACGGCUCACCUAGGCGACGAUCCCUAGCUGGUCUGAGAGGAUGACCAGCCACACUGGAACUGAGACACGGUCCAGACUCCUACGGGAGGCAGCAGUGGGGAAUAUUGCACAAUGGGCGCAAGCCUGAUGCAGCCAUGCCGCGUGUGUGAAGAAGGCCUUCGGGUUGUAAAGCACUUUCAGCGGGGAGGAAGGCGUUAAGGUUAAUAACCUUGGCGAUUGACGUUACCCGCAGAAGAAGCACCGGCUAACUCCGUGCCAGCAGCCGCGGUAAUACGGAGGGUGCAAGCGUUAAUCGGAAUUACUGGGCGUAAAGCGCACGCAGGCGGUCUGUCAAGUCGGAUGUGAAAUCCCCGGGCUCAACCUGGGAACUGCAUUCGAAACUGGCAGGCUAGAGUCUUGUAGAGGGGGGUAGAAUUCCAGGUGUAGCGGUGAAAUGCGUAGAGAUCUGGAGGAAUACCGGUGGCGAAGGCGGCCCCCUGGACAAAGACUGACGCUCAGGUGCGAAAGCGUGGGGAGCAAACAGGAUUAGAUACCCUGGUAGUCCACGCCGUAAACGAUGUCGAUUUGGAGGUUGUGCCCUUGAGGCGUGGCUUCCGGAGCUAACGCGUUAAAUCGACCGCCUGGGGAGUACGGCCGCAAGGUUAAAACUCAAAUGAAUUGACGGGGGCCCGCACAAGCGGUGGAGCAUGUGGUUUAAUUCGAUGCAACGCGAAGAACCUUACCUGGUCUUGACAUCCACAGAACUUUCCAGAGAUGGAUUGGUGCCUUCGGGAACUGUGAGACAGGUGCUGCAUGGCUGUCGUCAGCUCGUGUUGUGAAAUGUUGGGUUAAGUCCCGCAACGAGCGCAACCCUUAUCCUUUGUUGCCAGCGGUUAGGCCGGGAACUCAAAGGAGACUGCCAGUGAUAAACUGGAGGAAGGUGGGGAUGACGUCAAGUCAUCAUGGCCCUUACGACCAGGGCUACACACGUGCUACAAUGGCAUAUACAAAGAGAAGCGACCUCGCGAGAGCAAGCGGACCUCAUAAAGUAUGUCGUAGUCCGGAUUGGAGUCUGCAACUCGACUCCAUGAAGUCGGAAUCGCUAGUAAUCGUAGAUCAGAAUGCUACGGUGAAUACGUUCCCGGGCCUUGUACACACCGCCCGUCACACCAUGGGAGUGGGUUGCAAAAGAAGUAGGUAGCUUAACCUUCGGGAGGGCGCUUACC